AGGCAAGUGCUUUAUCUCUGAGUGACACCAGCCCCUAGGUUACUUGUAAGAGUUAAUUUGUUUCUGCUUCUAUUCCUGUUUAUGCAUGGCUAGGAUCAUGUGGUAGAUUAUUCCUCUCUGGCCUCCAGGAAAUCCCACCUCUCCUUUUCUAUGCCUGUGUGUAGUUAUUUUCUUUGUUGGCUUCAGGUUUGGCUGUAUCCCUAAGGACAAUGAUACAUAAUUAAAUGAAGCCUGUGCAUUGAUCUCCUCUCAGAAUACUGACCUACCACAGCUCCUCAAUGAUUGGUGUUGCCUGUUACAAGAUGAGAGACCACAAAGAAAACAGAGGCACCCCCCUCACUAGCCAGAAAUAACACCUCCUAGCAGCAGAAGGAUUGCAGGAUGAAGAACAACCGCAAUACCUGGCCGCUGGAGGACACUUCAACAAACCACAGCGUAUGAUGUUUCUGUAGCAGUUGUUGUGGCCAACAUGUGUAUGCCAGAGAUUCCAAGAUGCAUGAGAGAAAACUGCUGAGUGCUCCAAAAUACAGGAGAGUCUGAAGGGUGCUAAUGGGAUUUUGCGACUUACUACAUUUGGAAAUAUUCUAGAUCUUUUGUUAUCAGAGUCCCAUUUAAAGUGACCCAAUUUGAAGGUAACAGCAGAACUGGACUUAAUUAAAAUUCAUAAAUGAGGACUAUGUACACGACAAUGGAGUAUCCCUCUUUUAUGAACUGAUCUGUGAAUAUUUGGGUGAAUUGAGUGUCAACUGAUUCUUCUCAGGGAAGGACAUUGUCAUUGUACUGUCACACACUUGUGAUUCUGGAGAAAGCUGGGCAUGACUGAGCUCCUUCCUGUAAAGAUGGUGUGAAGGCAAGGUUGUUGAGACAGCACACAGGUGGCAGACUUCAUGGCAAUUCAAAAGGAUUGGUGUCAUAUCUUCUCAAAGUUCCUGUGCCAGAACAUCUGUCAUCCUACAGAAGUGCCAAAACUUGAGGAAUUUUACUCUGCCUCAUGGUACCACCAUGGCUUGAUGCUUAGUAAUGGAACUGAUUAUGGACUGGAACCUCUAAAACUGGUUUUCCCUCUGAGUGACCAAUCUCCACGUACCCACAGCUGUUUCCUGGGAUUGCUUCUCUGCAUGGAUGCAAGUCUAGGUGUGUCUGGAGGAAGCCACCAAUUCAAACAGGUCUUGCUGUCCUGUUUCUUUCUGAGGUGUGUUCCUGCACUUCUACAAGCAUGUCAAGAAAUCACUCAAUUUUCUGCAAAAGCUUUUCUUCCCAUUUCUCCCCCAAAUUUGUAAUUGUUUCUGAAUGAGGCCCUUUGCCAUUCUGGAAAGUAGUACCUUCUGUCUCCCUCUUUUAUAAAAAUAUAACAUCCUCUGAAGAAUAAUGUAAAUAUAUGAAUUACUUUCUUUUUAAGUGCAAUUUAAUUUCAGUUAAAUAUUUAAUAUCAAUGCUACAUGCUAAUUUUAAAUUACCACCAGCUACAUAGGAAAACAGUGAGCAGAUAGAUGAUCCUAGACCUGGAGAACAUAAAUAUAUACACAAUGUAAGAAUCUAAUUUACUUAAAGCAUCAAACUUUUGAAUAUUCUAUAUUGAGAAAUAAUAUUCCUUCUUAUUCAAAUGAGUGUUACUGAAGAAUUGGUGAUUUGUGAAGCAAAAGAACAAUUUAUGAUCUUUAUAAAUGGCAACUUCCAGAAGAUGGUGUGGACAAUCUGACCAGGGAAGCGGAACAUGUUAUUUCUCUUGUCAUUGAAAAUCAUCUGAAUCUUGCUGCCUAGUGAUAAAAAUAAAACAAAAUUUUUUAAAAAAAGAUUUACUUUCCUCUUCUACUUUUAUAGACGACAUGAUUUUUCUAUCAUUCUACUGAUGCCUAAGUGAUACUUCACAAUAAUAUGUAAUAUAUAGUGUGUGUUCUUGAAUAUCUUAACAUUUUUGUUUCAAUUUAGGUAAUCAUCUACC